GUUCUUACACAAACGAUUACGAAAUUUUCUUUCAUUAUAUUGAUUUUAAUUUAUAGUUUUUACAUUUUUAUGAUAAUCAUUAAGGUGUCCAAUUCAAUCAACCUAAAUUAUGCUGUAAUUCCUCAUAAUUUUUGCGUUGAAGAUACCAAAUAUAAUGACGGCUUUAACUGUUACGCAAGAUAUUUGAGUACUAUUCGUCUUUUCGAUAUGCAGCUAUUGGACCCACAAGAUUUUUUUUUAUCAUCAUACAGUAAGUUAUUUUAACUUAAUAUUUCAUACACAAUACAAUGUAAGACACAUAAAUUAAG